rnacentral:lncRNA from 1 species
GCCCGCUCCGCGCGCGCCCCGGCUCGCUGGGCGGCCCGCCAGGAGGGGGGCGCGGGCCGGAGUCCUCCCUCCCUCCGGGGGCGGCAGGGCCGGGGCAGAGCCGGGGGCUGCCUUCCCUCUUUUUACCCCUCUCCCCAAAUCCUAAAAUGAGCGCUCUUCUGGGCUCCCGGAGCUCGGAGGAAGGCGUAGCUAGAGAUAGCUUGCUCCCUCUCCCUCUCCCUCUCUCUCUCUCUCUCUCUCUCUCUCUCUCCUGCCCUCCCCCCUUGGUGUUUCUUCCAGCUCAGCCUCCUUCUCAUUCCAUCUCUACGUGCCCAGAGCUUCAAAUACAACCCUCCCAUCGCAAUCAGAUGGGCACAAAACUUCAAGCAGCCGUUUCUCUGCCUGGAAGCGGUGAAAAUAUAGCCUGGAUGGGCAGACACGGAUGUAUUUGAUCCUCGCAGGGACCGCAGUUUGACCCACAGGAGACACACACACGCUCCUCCUGCCCUGGAAGGAGGGGUGGGUCAUCACCCCCAUCCACAGACCCGGGCACCAGGACUUGGGAAUUGCAGGAAGAGCACGGCGACGAGGAGGCUUCCCAGAGAGCGAAUGUUUCCAAGGCGCAGUGGCUUAGUUUUGAGCUCUCCGCUGACCCACAUCGUCGACUCUCUUAGGACCACAAGACAGAAAGGCAAGAGGCACGGACUUGGGAACAGGAACACCUACCUGGGCUUACCGCCUCGAGUCCGGCGCUGGCCAGCUGAGGCAUGUUGUACCAGCCACUUCUACCUCUUGAAGUCUCAGUUUUCUCAUCUGUCAAAUGGGCACAGCUAUGCUGCUCUCUGAGGGGCGAGUCAGAGAGCUUUUUAGCAAACCGUCAAGGUCUGUCAUGUAAGCUGUCGUCUCCUGCUUAGAUGCUUCGUAGGGGCUUCUCCUGUUUGCUCUGGCUCCUUCCUCGGCAGCCUCUUCUCCGCACAGCAGCCAGAGGGACUUUCUGGGGGGGACACAGGAUCAAUUCACGUCACAUCCUUGCUUAAAGCCUUUAAGUGGGUUCACAUGUGUGCCAGGUACCCUGAAUAAUCUGGCUCUGCCUUUAGCUGUCUCUCUCUUCAGCCCCCCCUUGGCCUCCU